rnacentral:rRNA from 1 species
CCUACGGGUGGCAGCAGUGAGGAAUAUUGGUCAAUGGACGAGAGUCUGAACCAGCCAAGUAGCGUGAAGGAGGACUGCCCUGUGGGGUGUAAACUUGUUUUAUAAAGGGAUAAAACGAGGCACGUGUGCCUUUUUGCAUGUACUUUAUGAAUAAGGAUCGGCUAACUCCGUGCCAGCAGCCGCGGUAAUACGGAGGAUCCGAGCGUUAUCCGGAUGUAUGGGGUUUAAAGGGAGCGUAGAUGGGUUGUUAAGUCAGUUGUUAAAGUUUGCGGCUCAACCGUAAAAUUGCACUUGAUACUGGCAGUCUUGAGUACAGUUGAGGUAGGCUGAAUUCGUGGUGUAGCGGUGACAUGCUUAGAUAUCACGAAGAACCCCGAUUGCGUAGGCAGCUUACUAUACUGUGACUGACAUUGAUGCUCGAAAGUCUGGGUAUCAAACAGGAUUAGAUACCCCUGUAGUC